GUGCCAGAAGCAUCGGUAAUACGAAGGGUGCAAGCGUUACUCGGAAUUACUGGGCGUAAAGCGUGCGUAGGCGGUUGUUUAAGUCUGAUGUGAAAGCCCCGGGCUCAACCUGGGAAUGGCAUUGGAUACUGGACGGCUAGAGUGAGGUAGAGGGUGGUGGAAUUCCCGGUGUAGCGGUGAAAUGCGUAGAGAUCGGGAGGAACAUCUGUGGCGAAGGCGGCCACCUGGACCAUCACUGACGCUGAGGCACGAAAGCGUGGGGAGCAAACAGGAUUAGAUACCCUGGUAGUCCACGCCCUAAACGAUGCGAACUGGAUGUUGGCCACACUUAGGUGGUCAGUGUCNAAGCUAACGCGUUAAGUUCGCCGCCUGGGGAGUACGGUCGCAAGACUGAAACUCAUAGGAAUUGACGG
rnacentral:rRNA from 1 species